rnacentral:rRNA from 1 species
UCUGGUGACAAUGGCAAGGAGGUCACACCUGUUUCCAUGCCGAACACAGAAGUUAAGCUCCUUAGCGCCGAUGGUAGUCGGGCUUACGUCCCGCUAGAGUAGGACGUUGCCAGGC